rnacentral:ribozyme from 1 species
GAGCGAAGACGAAAGUCGAGCUC